UAGUAACCGAAAGGUUGCAAGACCAAAUCCCCUAGCUGACAAUAUAAAAAUAUCGUUCUGCCCCUGAACAAGGCAGUUAUCCCACUGUUCCUAGGCUGUCAUUGAAAAUAAGAGUUUGUUCUUAACUGACUUGCCUAGUUAAAUGAAGGUAAAAAAAAAGAGAUGGUGGGGCUAAAGCUUAAGAGGGUGUGAAUGAUGCCAAAUGGGUGUAGACAAAGAAGAGCUCUCCAGUUGGUACCAACACAUUCAAAGGCCAUUUUCUCAAAGUGAAGUUACAAGUUGAUCAACUUUCAAAGCAGAAUUACUUUCCCAUUGUUCCUCAAAUGCAGUGUAUGAUAUACCAUUAUGUAGCUCUGUGUCUCUGCUUUUAUCCAAUGUAAAAAAAAAAAAACAAUUUCAAAUUUUUCUACAUAAACUACAUAAGCCCUGUCCAACAAAUAGAAUACGAGCCUAUCAUAGCCUGUAACGUUUUUCAGGACAAGCCCACAUGACAACAGCGGCCUCAGAUGCCAGCAGUAACUUGUCCUCCACGUUUAGCAGAGUUUUUGCACCUCUUUGAAUGUCACCAGAGAGUGUUAGUCAUUAACUGUCUAAUAUAAAGUCAUUGCAGAAGGGGGUAGUGGGUCAUAUCUGUUGGUUGAUCAUAAUUUUGGGGAAAAGCAAUACUUUGAAUGUCAACUAGAUGACAUUUUAUUCCUGCUCAGAGAGAAAUUAAUAGCUACUCCUUGCCUGCAAUUACAUGGAAAUGACUUACAAUAUUAUCUUCCUGUUGAAACACAUUACAUUCCUCUUGAUACCUUGUUUGACAUUAAUGAUAAACUGGAAUAACUAUUCUUUCACUGCCUACUAAUGUAGUUACUGUGUGUGUGUUGGCUAGCUUUGUGUAUUGGUUGGACUCCUGGAGUUGUGCAUUGUUCUGGUGUUUGGCGACAGAAAAUAAGCAUACUACAAUGUGGCCCGGGCUUCACCAAAAAAAAAAAAAAAAAAAAAAAAAAAAAAAAAAAA
ensembl:lncRNA